GAUGAACGCUAGCUACAGGCUUAACACAUGCAAGUCGAGGGGCAUCAGGAAGAAAGCUUGCUUUCUUUGNUGGCGACCGGCGCACGGGUGAGUAACACGUAUCCAACCUGCCCUUUACUCGGGGAUAGCCUUUCGAAAGAAAGAUUAAUACCCGAUAGCAUAAUGAUUCCGCAUGGUUUCAUUAUUAAAGGAUUCCGGUAAAGGAUGGGGAUGCGUUCCAUUAGGUUGUUGGUGAGGUAACGGCCCACCAAGCCUUCGAUGGAUAGGGGUUCUGAGAGGAAGGUCCCCCACAUUGGAACUGAGACACGGUCCAAACUCCUACGGGAGGCAGCAGUGAGGAAUAUUGGUCAAUGGGCGAUGGCCUGAACCAGCCAAGUAGCGUGAAGGAUGAAGGCUCUAUGGGUCGUAAACUUCUUUUAUAUUAGAAUAAAGUGCAGUAUGUAUACUGUUUUGUAUGUAUAAUAUGAAUAAGGAUCGGCUAACUCCGUGCCAGCAGCCGCGGUAAUACGGAGGAUCCGAGCGUUAUCCGGAUUUAUUGGGUUUAAAGGGAGCGUAGGUGGACUGGUAAGUCAGUUGUGAAAGUUUGCGGCUCAACCGUAAAAUUGCAGUUGAUACUGUCAGUCUUGAGUACAGUAGAGGUGGGCGGAAUUCGUGGUGUAGCGGUGAAAUGCUUAGAUAUCACGAAGAACUCCGAUUGCGAAGGCAGCUCACUGGACUGCAACUGACACUGAUGCUCGAAAGUGUGGGUAUCAAACAGGAUUAGAUACCCUGGUAGUCCACACAGUAAACGAUGAAUACUCGCUGUUUGCGAUAUACAGUAAGCGGCCAAGCGAAAGCAUUAAGUAUUCCACCUGGGGAGUACGCCGGCAACGGUGAAACUCAAAGGAAUUGACGGGGGCCCGCACAAGCGGAGGAACAUGUGGUUUAAUUCGAUGAUACGCGAGGAACCUUACCCGGGCUUAAAUUGCAGUGGAAUGAUGUGGAAACAUGUCAGUGAGCAAUCACCGCUGUGAAGGUGCUGCAUGGUUGUCGUCAGCUCGUGCCGUGAGGUGUCGGCUUAAGUGCCAUAACGAGCGCAACCCUUAUCUUCAGUUACUAACAGGUCAUGCUGAGGACUCUGGAGAGACUGCCGUCGUAAGAUGUGAGGAAGGUGGGGAUGACGUCAAAUCAGCACGGCCCUUACGUCCGGGGCUACACACGUGUUACAAUGGGGGGUACAGAAGGCAGCUACCUGGUGACAGGAUGCUAAUCCCAAAAGCCUCUCUCAGUUCGGAUCGAAGUCUGCAACCCGACUUCGUGAAGCUGGAUUCGCUAGUAAUCGCGCAUCAGCCACGGCGCGGUGAAUACGUUCCCGGGCCUUGUACACACCGCCCGUCAAGCCAUGGGAGCCGGGGGUACCUGAAGUACGUAACCGCAAGGAGCGUCCUAGGGUAAAACUGGUGACUGGGGC
rnacentral:rRNA from 1 species